rnacentral:rRNA from 1 species
GAUGAACGCUGGCGGCGUGCCUAAUACAUGCAAGUCGAGCGAACAGACGAGGAGCUUGCUCCUCUGACGUUAGCGGCGGACGGGUGAGUAACACGUGGAUAACCUCCCUAUAAGACUGGGAUAACUUCGGGAAACCGGAGCUAAUACCGGAUAAUAUAUUGAACCGCAUGGUUCAAUAGUGAAAGACGGUUUUGCUGUCACGUAUAGAUGGAUCCGCGCCGCAUUAGCUAGUUGGUCAGGUAACGGCUUACCAAGGCAACGAUGCGUAGCCGACCUGAUAGGGUGAUCGGCCACACUGGAGCUGGGACACGGUCCAGACGCCUACGGGAGGCAGCAGUAGGGAAUCUUCCGCAAUGGGCGAAAGCCUGACGGAGCAACGCCGCGUGAGUGAUGAAGGUCUUCGGAUCGUAAAACUCUGUUAUUAGGGAAGAACAAAUGUGUAAGUAACUAUGCACGUCUUGACGGUACCUAAUCAGAAAGCCACGGCUAACUACGUG